rnacentral:rRNA from 1 species
UACGUAGGGUCCAAGCGUUAUCCGGAAUCAUUGGGCGUAAAGGGCGCGUAGGUGGUUCUGUAUGUCUACCGUGAAAGCGUACGGCUCAACCGUAUUUUGUCGGUGGAAACUGCAGGACUUGAGGCUGGGAGGGGCUGGUGGAAUUCCCUGUGUAGCGGUGAAAUGCGUAGAGAUGGGGGAGAACACUCGUGGCGAAAGCGGCUCUCUGGGACGGUACUGACGCUGAGACGCGAAAGCGUGGGGAGCAAACAGG